UUCCGGUUGAUCCUGCCGGACCUUACUGCUAUCGGGGUGGGACUAAGACAUGCGAGUCGAGCGUCUCUAGCUAUGUUGAGACGCGGCAGACGGCUCAGUAACACGUGGCUAACCUACCUUCAGGACGAGUACAAACCCGGGAAACUGGGGCUAAUACUCGAUAGGUGAGGAUGUCUGGAAUGACUUCUCUCCCAAAGGGCUUGGAUACAUGCUUUCAAGUCGCCUGGGGAUGGGGCCGCGUCCGAUCAGGUUGUUGGUGAGGUAAUGGCUCACCAAGCCUAUAACCGGUACGGGCCGUGAGAGCGGUAGCCCGGAGAUGGUACUGAGACAAGGACCCAAGGCCUACGGGGCGCAGCAGUCGCGAAAACUCCGCAAUGCACGAAAGUGUGACGGGGCUACCCCGAGUGCCACCCGCUGAGGGUGGCUUUUCUUUGGUAUAAUUAGCCAUUGGAAUAAGGAGAGGGCAAGACUGGUGUCAGCCGCCGCGGUAAUACCAGCUCUCCGAGUGGUAGGGAUGAUUAUUGGGCUUAAAGCGUCCGUAGCCGGCUUAGCAAGUUUCCUGUUAAACUCAGCGACUCAAUCGUUGACCCGCGGGAAAUACUACUAGGCUAGGAGGCGGGAGAGGUCGACGGUACUUCUGGGGUAGGGGUGAAAUCCUAUAAUCCCGGGAGGACCACCAGUGGCGAAGGCUGUCGACUAGAACGCGCUCGACGGUGAGGGACGAAAGCUGGGGGAGCGAACCGGAUUAGAUACCCGGGUAGUCCCAGCCGUAAACGAUGCGAGCUAGGUGUUGGGAUGGCUACGUGCCAUUUCAGUGCCGCAGGGAAGCCAUUAAGCUCGCCGCCUGGGGAGUACGGCCGCAAGGCUGAAACUUAAAGGAAUUGGCGGGGGAGCAC
rnacentral:rRNA from 1 species